rnacentral:rRNA from 1 species
UACGUAGGGGGCAAGCGUUGUCCGGAUUUAUUGGGCGUAAAGAGCGUGUAGGCGGCUAGGUAGGUGGGUUGUGAAAACUGGAGGCUCAACCUUCAGACGUCGACCCAAACCCCCUGGCUAGAGUCCGGAAGAGGAGAGUGGAAUUCCUGGUGUAGCGGUGAAAUGCGUAGAUAUCAGGAGGAACACCGGUGGUGUAAACGGCUUUCUGGACCAUAACUGACACUGAGGCACGAAAGCGUGGGUAGCAAACAGG